CCGAGUCUUAACUGGGCGUUAAGUUGCAGGGUAUAGACCCGAAACCCGGUGAUCUAGCCAUGGGCAGGUUGAAGGUUGGGUAACACUAACUGGAGGACCGAACCGACUAAUGUUGAAAAAUUAGCGGAUGACUUGUGGCUGGGGGUGAAAGGCCAAUCAAACCGGGAGAUAGCUGGUUCUCCCCGAAAGCUAUUUAGGUAGCGCCUCGUGAAUUCAUCUCCGGGGGUAGAGCACUGUUUCGGCAAGGGGGUCAUCCCGACUUACCAACCCGAUGCAAACUGCGAAUACCGGAGAAUGUUAUCACGGGAGACACACGGCGGGUGCUAACGUCCGUCGUGAAGAGGGAAACAACCCAGACCGCCAGCUAAGGUCCCAAAGUCAUGGUUAAGUGGGAAACGAUGUGGGAAGGCCCAGACAGCCAGGAUGUUGGCUUAGAAGCAGCCAUCAUUUAAAGAAAGCGUAAUAGCUCACUGGUCGAGUCGGCCUGCGCGGAAGAUGUAACGGGGCUAAACCAUGCACCGAAGCUGCGGCAGCGACGCUUAUGCGUUGUUGGGUAGGGGAGCGUUCUGUAAGCCUGCGAAGGUGUACUGUGAGGUAUGCUGGAGGUAUCAGAAGUGCGAAUGCUGACAUAAGUAACGAUAAAGCGGGUGAAAAGCCCGCUCGCCGGAAGACCAAGGGUUCCUGUCCAACGUUAAUCGGGGCAGGGUGAGUCGACCCCUAAGGCGAGGCCGAAAGGCGUAGUCGAUGGGAAACAGGUUAAUAUUCCUGUACUUGGUGUUACUGCGAAGGGGGGACGGAGAAGGCUAUGUUGGCCGGGCGACGGUUGUCCCGGUUUAAGCGUGUAGGCUGGUUUUCCAGGCAAAUCCGGAAAAUCAAGGCUGAGGCGUGAUGAC
rnacentral:rRNA from 1 species